AGUGAACGCUGGCGGUAGGCCUAACACAUGCAAGUCGAACGGCAGCACAGUAAGAGCUUGCUCUUACGGGUGGCGAGUGGCGGACGGGUGAGGAAUACAUCGGAAUCUACUUUUUCGUGGGGGAUAACGUAGGGAAACUAAGCUAAUAACGGCAAAGACCUUCGGGUGAAAACAAGGGAACCUUCGAACCUGCCCGAAUGAAUGAACCGAUGUCGGAUUAGCUAGUUGGGGGGGUAAAGGCCCACCAAGGCGACGAUCCGUAGCUGGUCUGAGAGGAUGAUCAGCCACACUGGAACUGAGACACGGUCCAGACUCCUACGGGAGGCAGCAGUGGGGAAUAUUGGACAAUGGGCGCAAGCCUGAUCCAGCCAUACCGCGUGGGUGAAGAAGGCCUUCGGGUUGUAAAGCCCUUUUGUUGGGAAAGAAAAGCAGCAGGUUAAUACCCCGCUGUUCUGACGGUACCCAAAGAAUAAGCACCGGCUAACUUCGUG
rnacentral:rRNA from 1 species